rnacentral:rRNA from 1 species
CCUACGGGUGGCAGCAGUGGGGAAUAUUGCACAAUGGGGGAAACCCUGAUGCAGCAACGCCGCGUGAGUGAAGAAGUAUUUCGGUAUGUUAAGCUCUAUCAGCAGGGAAGAAGAAAGACGGUACCUGACUAAGAAGCCCCGGCUAACAACGGGCCAGCAGCCGGGGUAAUAAGCAGGGGGCAAGCUUUAUCCGGAUUUACUGGGUGUAAAGGGAGCGUAGGCGGCUGUGCAAGUCUGAAGUGAAAGGCCGUGGCUCAACCGCGGACCUGCUGUGGAAACUGUAUGGCUUGAGUACUAGAGGGGCAGGCGGAAUUCGUGGUGUAGCGGUGAAAUGCAUAGAUAUUGGGAGGAACACCAGUGGCGAAGGCAGCAUGCUGGCUAGAAACUGACGUUGAGGCACGAAAGCGUGGGGAGCGAACAGGAUUAGAUACCCCGGUAGUC